rnacentral:tRNA from 1 species
UCCUUGGAGGACUAGUGGUUAGGCCUCGGUGUGCUCACCGCCACGGCCCAGGUUCGAUUCCCGGCUAGGGAA